rnacentral:rRNA from 1 species
AUUGAACGCUGGCGGCAUGCCUUACACAUGCAAGUCGAACGGCAGCACGGGAGCUUGCUCCUGGUGGCGAGUGGCGAACGGGUGAGUAAUACAUCGGAACGUACCCUGAAGUGGGGGAUAACGUAGCGAAAGUUACGCUAAUACCGCAUAUUCUGUGAGCAGGAAAGAGGGGGGAUCGCAAGACCUCUUGCUUUAGGAGCGGCCGAUGUCGGAUUAGCUAGUUGGUGAGGUAAAGGCUCACCAAGGCGACGAUCCGUAGCGGGUCUGAGAGGAUGAUCCGCCACACUGGGACUGUGACACGGCCCAGACUCCUACGGGAGGCAGCAGUGGGGAAUUUUGGACAAUGGGCGCAGGCCUGAUCCAGCCAUGCCGCGUGAGUGAAGAAGGCCUC